CUGGAGGGCAGUGGUGCAAUCUCUGCUCACUGCAACCUUUGCCUGCCCCCACCGGGUUCAAGCAAUUCCCAUGUCUCAGCCUCCUGAGUAGCUGAGAUUACAGACAUGCGCCACCACAGCUGGCUAAUUUUUGUAUUUUUUGUAGAGACGGGGUUUCACCAUGUUGGCCAGGCUGGUCUGGAACUCCUGACCUGAAGUGAUCUGCCCACCUCGGCUUCCCAAAGUGCUGGGAUGACAGGCGUAAGCCACUGCGCCUGGCCCCUUCAGGUGGGUUUUGAGGCUUCACUACAAUACUAGUUCCCCGUUGCUGCUGCAACAAAUUACCACACCCUUAGUGGCUUAAAACAGCACAGAGAUAUUCCCUUCCAGUUCUGAAGGCCAGAAUUCUAAAGUCAGUCCCACUGAGUCAAGGUGGGAGCAGGCUCAGUGCCUUCCCAGGCUCUGCGGGAGAAUCCGUUUCCUGGCCCUGGAGGCGGCCUGUACUCCUCAGCUUGUGCUGCCCUUCUCGAAUGACUCGAGUUUCCUGCUUUCAUCACUACACCUCCCACCACUCUCCAUCACCUGCUCUGCUCUUAUAAGGAUCCAGAGAAAUGGAAUAGUCGUAUCACUGAUCUACGUAAACAGGUUGAAGAAUUGUCUGAAAGAAAAUAUGGUGUGUCUAAACUGGAAAAGUCCUGUAAUAGUUUGUUCAUGAGCAUUUACACAAUGGAGUUGCUGUUUCAUCAUGGGGGUACUGUGGACAAGCCCAGGGUUGCUGUAGAGACAGAGUUUUUUGUCUUGUAGGCCAGGCUGGUCUCGAGCUCCUGACCUCAAGUGAUCCACCUGCCUCCCAAAGUGCUGGGAUUACAGGCACAUGAACUUAUGAAUUUAAGACAUGAAGAUUUACAGCUUGAUAAACCAGCUUCAGGAGACAUGAACUUAUGAACUCAACACAUGAAGAUUUACAGCUUGACAAACGGCUGCUGUAAAAUAUUACAGGCAUACUUUGGAGAUAUUACGGGAUUGGUUCCACAUCACUGCAAUAAAACUCCAGCGGGAAGAAGAAGAGGCCUUUGCCAGCAGUCAGAGCAGCCAAGGGGCCCAAUCCCUCACAUUCUCCAAGUUUGAAGAAAAACCAACGAGAAGACCCGCAAGGUUACCACAGUGAAGAAAUCUUCAGUGCGUCUUCUAGGGUCGGAUCAAAGAAGGCAGAAAUUCAGGAAGCAAAAGCUCCCAGUCCUUCCAUAAACCGGCAAACCAGCAUUGAAAUGGGUUAAGAGUGUCUAAGGAGUUCAUAGAAUUUCUCAAGACCUUCCACAAGACAGGCCAAGAAAUCUAUAAACAGACCAAGCUGUUUUUGGAAGGGAUGCAUUACAAAGGGAGCCCUGCACUGGGUUACGCCUCAGAUGCUGUGUGUCCCUGUUAAUGAAGACAUCCCAGAAGUGUCUGAUACGCUGGUGAAGGCGAUCACAGGGAUUGUGCUGCAUUCUGACUUAGGUUCUGCUAUCAAAAACAGAAUGCCCUGAUCCUUAGAGGCAGAGGCAGCUCUUCAGCCUAUGGGCUGAAGCUCUUGGACUCACUGAGGCAGUAAAAGUACCAUAUCCUGUGUUUGAAUCAAACCCCGAGUUCCUGUGUGUAGAAGGUUUGCCAGACAGGAUUCCCUUUUGAAGCCCUCCUGGUUUGGAAUUCCAUGACUUGAAAGGAUCGUCCGUGGGAGUAAUAAAAUCAAGUUUGUUGGUAAAAACUUCACAGUUUCUAAAAAGACCACGAAGCCCUGAGAGUAAUGAAAAGCUUCCUGACAUUGAGGUCACUGUGGAAGAGGGAAAUAUGUCAUGUACCAGCUGUCCAUCCAAUGACUGCCCAUCAGUUCCAUAUUCACCCUUCACUGCCUGAUCUGCAGACAUAGAGGAGAAUCUAAUGCCUGAUGGUCUGUCACUGUCUCCCAUCACCCCCAGAUGGGACCAUCUAGUUGCAGGAAAAGAAGGUCAAGACUCCCACUCAUUCUACAUUAUGUCUCUGUGUGUUUCCCAGGCUGGAGCACAGUGGUUUGAUCUUGGCUCACUGCAGUCUCAACCUCUCAGGCUCAAGCUAUCCUUCCGCCUCAGCCUCUGGGGUAGCUGGGACCACAGCCUCAGCCAAGAUGUCUCACCCUACUCUCUAUGAUGCAAGAAGCCCCUGGGGAACGUUUCAGUCCCACUCUACUAUUGUCAUGUGCUCAUCACAGUCUGGUGGAAUUUAAAUGACCUCUUAUCAAGAUGGAUAAACCCAAGUUUCCCAGUGCUGGAAUACAGAAAAUGGAUGGACAACUGGAUCUACCAUGAAAGACUUCAGAGUCCGGAAAGAGAGACUGACUGGGCAGCAUGUUAUUCAGUUACAAAAAGACUUGGACUAUGACUCAAAAAUGAUCAAAUAAUAGUUCAUGCAUCAAAUGCAAUAGGAAGCAUUUCUGGAGGGUGAGAGAAGCAUCCAGUUAAGGUGACAUUGAAGCUGGGUCCUGAAAGAUGAGGAAGAAUUGUAUGAGAGUGGGCAGAGAAUGGGCUGGGAUGGCGUGAGCUGCUCAAGCAGGGAGACCAGCACUGUAAAGACCUGGACGAUAAAGACGGCACGUUUUAUUCAGGGAAUGGUGAAUUAAGUGUGGCAGGAAUGCUUUGGAGAGAUAGUAAUUUGCUUGUAUGGAAUUUUGCCUGAGAGGCCUCAUUACAGUUUCUAAUCUUUUGAUGUUAUCAUCUAUCACUGUCCUUGUCAAAUAGUUUGGAAUCGUUAUAAUGAUCACAAUAACAUCAAGCAUAGUAUUUCAUUAAUUUUCACAAAAUCACAGGUAGGUGCCACAGUUUAUCCCCAUUUUGUGAAUGAAGUGAUGAAGACUUAGGAAUAAUGGGUGAUUUGCCCAAGCUCACCUGGAUAUUAAGACUGAGUCAAAUGUCGGGUCUGGUCUGACUUUAAUCUUUGCUUUGUUCGUGAGCACCACGUGUUGCCUCUCCUAUGCAGUUAAGCAGGUAGACAGGUGAAAGAAAAGCCCGUGUUUGUCUCUACUCAGACACUUCUGACUGAAUGUGUGGAAUUUCUACACCAAGUUCUCCAAUGCUGUGGAUAUUAACUGGGUAUCCUACAGUUUUAUUCUGACACUUCAUGGAGUUGGCGUAGACCCCACAGGUUACGGGCUCAGUCCCACGAGACCACCCUUGCUUCACAUUGCAAUGGCAAGUCCUAGGUUGUCACCUGCACUUUUGACCAACCUGUUACAAAUCAGGGGUUCCCAUGACCCCCUCUUGGGGUUUAAUCAUUUGUUAGAGCAGCUUACAGAGCUCAGAAAAAGUUUGUUUCCUUUUUUUCUGAGAGACAGGGUCUCAUUUCGUUGCUCAGGCUGGUGUGCAGUGGUGCAGUCAUAGCUCACUGCAUCCUCGACUGCCUGGGCUCAAGUGGUCCUGACCACCUCAGCCUCCCUAGUAGCUGAGACUACAUGCUUGCACCACUAUUUCUGGCUAAUUUAUUUUUUGUAGAGAUGGGUCUUGUUAUGUUGCACAGGUUGGCCACAAAUUCCUGGGCCCAAGUGAUCCUCCCACCGCAGCCUCUUUGAAGUGCUGGGAUUACAGAUGUGAGCCACCACAUUUCCUAUUACUGGUUCCUUGUAAAGGAUACAUCGCAGAAACAGCUAAUGAAAGAGAUGUACGUGCCAGAUGCAGUGGCUCACGCUGUAAUCCCAGCACUUUGGGAGGCUGAGGUAGGAGGAUUGCUUAAACUCAGGAGUUUGAGACCAGCCUGGGCAACAUGGUGAAACCCUGUCUCUGUAAAAAGUUUUUAAAAAGCUGGGCACAGUGGCUCAAGCCUGUAAUCCCAGCACUUUGGGAGGCCAAGGUGGGCGAAUCACGAGGUCAGGAGUUCGAGACCAGUCUGACCAACAUGGUGAAACCCCGUCUCUACUAAAAAUGCAAAAAUUAGCCAGGCGUGGUGGCGCGCACCUAUAAUCCCAGCUACUUAGGAGGCUGAGGCAGGAGAAUCGCUUGAACCUGGGAGGUGGAGGUUGCAGUGAGCUGAGAUCACACCACUGCACUUUAGCCUGGGCGACAGAACUAGACUGUGUCUCAAUAAAUAAAUUAACCGAGUGCGGUGGUGUGCACCUGUAGUUCCAGUUACUAUAUAACUAGACUCUGUCUCAAUAAAUAAAUAAAUAAA
rnacentral:sRNA from 1 species